CAAUAAAAUAUGUUAACAUGAGGAGGAACAUAUUUACUAGUUAUAUCAUCUGCAAUCGCCUGAAUCUCGAGGCGUUCUUCGAACCAAUCAUAGACUUUAUUGAGAUAGGUAAACCAAGAGGACUCCCCCCUGAGAACCGUAUAUGAGAAUUUCAUCUCGUACAGCUCAAACAAAAACACCCAAAUAAUAGCUGAAACGGAUAUGGAAUAGAAAGUUUGAAACUUCUUAAUCUUUUCAUUCAAUUUUAUCUGAAGACACAAAAGAGUAAAAAUCCGAAAGCUCUUUUUUGUAGUUGUAAUUAUAAUGCCAAAAAAUCAAGUCGGCGCAUUCGUCUUUAUGUUGAUCAGGCCUCUUGAAUCUUCUAUUUACCUACUUAUUUCUUUUCUUUUUCUUUGCUUUGAUUUGUUAUUUAUAUGGAAUGUGGCUUUAUUCUUGUUUUCUUUAUUUUUAAUAGGAAUUCUCUUGUUAAGACCCUAUGAAUCAAUUGAAACUUCAGAUUCAUACCAGAACCGCGAUGAUUCAAUAAAACCUUCAAACUAAGUCCAAAGAUUCUUUGAGUAAGAAUUAUUGGAUCAUCACUUAUUCAAUGAAUAGAAUAGAUAUAAUAAAUAAAAAUACAAAGAAAAGAAAGGUUUGUCCUUUGAUCAAAAUAAGCAUAAACUAAAUGAGAGUUUGAAAGAAGAAAAAAUUUCUCGAUUUAUAAAUAAAAAACCUCUUUCUUUGAAAAUUUUUUUUUUUUUUGAGUCCGGCCGCGAGGUUUGAAUAUUAAGUAUGAAUCAUAGUUCGAAUACUUCGUGAUCCAUUUCAUAUAUUCCGUGCUCCAGAUACUAGAAUGGCUAUCCGACGGGAUAAAACUAUCUCGAUCAAGAGGACAGACCCAUUUUCUGUACUAUCAAUAGGAUCAAUUAUAACAAGUCACACACUCAUAUUCCGGAAAUACAGAAACAAAAAAAAUUUCGCGGUCGAACUACCAAAAUAGAAUGGGCUAAAAAAAAUCCGAGAACUAAAAGUUUCACUUUUUGUAUUGAAAAGCGAGGCUUCGUGGUUCUUGUGAAUCUAAUUCAGCGAAAUUCCAUCCAGUAAAACGGAA
rnacentral:lncRNA from 1 species